rnacentral:rRNA from 1 species
UACGUAGGGUGCGAGCGUUGUCCGGAAUUAUUGGGCGUAAAGAGCUCGUAGGCGGUUCGGUAAGUCGGAUGUGAAAUCUCCACGCUCAACGUGGAGGGGCCAUUCGAUACUGCCGUGACUCGAGUCCGGUAGGGGAGUGUGGAAUUCCCGGUGUAGCGGUGAAAUGCGCAGAGAUCGGGAGGAACACCCGUAGCGAAGGCGGCACUCUGGGCCGGUACUGACGCUGAGGAGCGAAAGCGUGGGGAGCGAACAGG